rnacentral:rRNA from 1 species
GACGAACGCUGGCGGCGUGCUUAACACAUGCAAGUCGAACGAAGAGCGAUGGAAGCUUGCCUCUAUCAAUCUUAGUGGCGAACGGGUGAGUAACGCGUAAUCAACCUGCCCUUCAGAGGGGGACAACAGUUGGAAACGACUGCUAAUACCGCAUACGAUCUAAUCUCGGCAUCGAGGAUAGAUGAAAGGUGGCCUCUACAUGUAAGCUAUCACUGAAGGAGGGGAUUGCGUCUGAUUAGCUAGUUGGAGGGGUAACGGCCCACCAAGGCGAUGAUCAGUAGCCGGUCUGAGAGGAUGAACGGCCACAUUGGGACUGAGACACGGCCCAGACUCCUACGGGAGGCAGCAGUGGGGAAUCUUCCGCAAUGGACGAAAGUCUGACGGAGCAACGCCGCGUGAGUGAUGACGGCCUUCGGGUUGUAAAGCUCUGUUAAUCGGGACGAAAGGCCUUCUUGCGAAUAGGGAGAAGGAUUGACGGUACCGGAAGAGAAAGCCACGGCUAACUACGUG